rnacentral:rRNA from 1 species
UACGAAGGGGGCUAGCGUUGUUCGGAAUAACUGGGCGUAAAGCGCACGUAGGCGGAUUUGUAAGUCAGGGGUGAAAUCCCGGGGCUCAACCUCGGAACUGCCUUUGAUACUGCAAGUCUGGAGUCCGGAAGAGGUGAGUGGAAUUCCUAGUGUAGAGGUGAAAUUCGUAGAUAUUAGGAAGAACACCAGUGGCGAAGGCGGCUCACUGGUCCGGUACUGACGCUGAGGUGCGAAAGCGUGGGGAGCAAACAGG